GCUCUGGUGGCACAGUGGUUAAAGCACUCAGCUGCUAACUGAAAGGAUGGUGGUUUGAACCCACCAGCU
rnacentral:tRNA from 1 species